rnacentral:rRNA from 1 species
GAUAAGGAGCUUGCUCCUUUGACGUUAGCGGCGGACGGGUGAGUAACACGUGGGUAACCUAGCUUUAAGACUGGAAUAACUCCGGGAAACCGGGGCUAAUGCCGGAAAACAUUUAGAACCGCAGGGUUCUAAAGUGAAAGAUGGUUUUGCUAUCACUUAUAAAUGGACCCGCGCCGUAUUAGCUAUUUGGUAAGGUAACGGCUUACCAAGGCAACGAUACGUAGCCGACCUGAGAGGGUGAUCGGCCACACUGGAACUGAGACACGGUCUAGACUCCUACGGGAGGCAGCAGUAGGGAAUCUUCCGCAAUGGGCGAAAGCCUGACGGAGCAACGCCGCGUGAGUGAUGAAGGUCUUCGGAUCGUAAAACUCUGUUAUUAGGGAAGAACAAAUGUGUAAGUAACUAUGCACGUCUUGACGGUACCUAAUCAGAAAGCCACGGCUAACUACGUGCCAGCAGCCGCGGUAAUACGUAGGUGGCAAGCGUUAUCCGGAAUUAUUGGGCGUAAAGCGCGCGUAGGCGGUUUCUUAAGUCUGAUGUGAAAGCCCACGGCUCAACCGUGGAGGGUCAUUGGAAACUGGGAAACUUGAGUGCAGAAGAGGAAAGUGGAAUUCCAUGUGUAGCGGUGAAAUGCGCAGAGAUAUGGAGGAACACCAGU